rnacentral:tRNA from 1 species
CGGUCCAUGGCCAAACUGGUCAAGGCAUCACCAAUUACAAGUGUGAUGUAGGUUCGAGUCCCGCUGGAACGG